GAUGAAGAACGUAGCGAAAUGCGAUAAGUAAUGUGAAUUGCAGAAUUCAGUGAAUCAUCGAAUCUUUGAACGCACAUUGCGCCCCUUGGUAUUCCGGGGGGCAUGCCUGUUCGAGCGUCAUUAUAACCCUCAAGCUCAGCUUGGUGUUGGGGCCUGCUGCACUGGCAGCCCUUAAAAUCAGUGGCGGCGCCAUCUGGCUCUAAGCGUAGUAAUUCUUCUCGCUAUGGAGUCCUGGUGGAUGCUUGCCAUCAACCCCCAAUUUUUCUAUGGUUGACCUCGGAUCAGGUAGGGAUACCCGCUGAACUUAAGCAUAUCAAUAAGCGGAGGA
rnacentral:misc_RNA from 1 species